UACAGAGGUCUCAAGCGUUGUUCGGAUUCAUUGGGCGUAAAGGGUGCGUAGGCGGCGCGGUAAGUCGGGUGUGAAAUCUCGGGGCUUAACUCCGAAACUGCAUUCGAUACUGCCGUGCUUGAGGACUGGAGAGGAGACUGGAAUUUACGGUGUAGCGGUGAAAUGCGUAGAUAUCGUAAGGAAGACCAGUGGCGAAGGCGGGUCUCUGGACGGAUACUGACGCUGAGGCGCGAAAGCUAGGGGAGCAAACGGG
rnacentral:rRNA from 1 species